UAAUCUUUUGAAACUCUCUUUUAUUGAAACUCUUGUUUAUUUAUAUGAUUCUUCAUAUGCUUUGAUUAUCAAUUGUUGGGUUCUCAUCUGCGCUUAAAGCUUUUAUCAUUUAACUCAUUCGAUAAUUGUUGUUUGUCUCUAUUGAUACGGGAACGUACAAUACUGUCAUGAACUGGUGAGAAAUUCCUUGAUUAAUGAAAUACCACCUAGGGAUAGGGAGGUAGGACGAUCAAUUGUUUUUGCUUCUGUUCGGUAAUGCAUUGCUAAUUGCUAGGGGAGGCUAGGGAUAGCAAGCCGGUAAUUAGUAAUAGGCUCUUUUCGUCGAGGGAUCGGGUUAAGGGUAGGCCAAGAAAGUUUGCAUAACAAUUAGAUAAUCAAGCACAUUAAGCAAGAGGAGUAGAUAAGAGGGAGCGGAUAAGAUGAAAUUGUCAACCCCCAACAACUCCAUUCAUCCAUAGUCUUUUUCGUCAAUUGAAUCAAACACAUUACAUGUUUAUUUUCUGUUUUUGCAUUCCAAACAAUUAAUUUUUCUCUACAAGUCAUACAAUUUCAAUUCAUACGAACGAUAAGGCCUUUCGAGUCUCUUGGGAAGAACGAUAU
rnacentral:lncRNA from 1 species